rnacentral:rRNA from 1 species
UUAUCGUAACACAGGGGGUGCCGGGGCUGUCGCUGACCUUCAAGGUCAUGCACGCCUCGAGCAUUCUCACUUACAUCCAUCACACCUUUGUGCAUCACCGCGUGGGCUCCCUUUUGACUUAUAAAAGGGGGGCUUGCGUUCUCACACGUACACCCCUUUGUAAUGCAAAUAGCAUAGAAUGUUUUUACACUUGCGAUCACCCGCAAAUCAAUACAACUUUCAACAACGGAUCUCUUGGCUCUCGCAUCGAUGAAGAACGCAGCGAAAUGCGAUACGUAAUGUGAAUUGCAGAAUUCAGUGAAUCAUCGAAUCUUUGAACGCACCUUGCGCCCCUUGGCAUUCCGAGGGGCACACCCGUUUGAGUGUCGUGAAAUUCUCAACCUUCUCUGCUUCUUUUUUGAUCGGGGAAGGCUUGGACUUUGGAGGCUUCUGCCGGCUUCAACAGAAGCCAGCUCCUCUUAAAUGCAUUAGCGGGGGUUUUCUUUUGUCGAUCCUCGACGUGAUAAAGUUUUUCUACGUCUGGGGAUUGGCUUUAAGACCCGCUUCUAAUGGUCUCGUCGAGACUUUUGGUCGAGUUUUGCCCCUCAGUUGGGUGGGACUUUUUGGCCCAUAUGAACCCUUUGACCUCAAAUCGGGUGAGACUACCCGCUGAACUUAAGCAUAUCAA